UCAUUUAUCUUCAUUUUUGUCUCAUAUUUUUUCUCUCUGAAAACCUUUCUCUUAGUCUCAUCUUCUUCUCAUCGAAAACUUGUUUUUGCUCCAACGAAGUACAUGAUUCCCGUUGUUGUCACUAUUAAGCGCCGACUCAAAGCGUCUUCCUCUCUAAUUUGGUAAGCCGAAGCGUAGAAUUUACACAAAGUUUUGUUUCAUGAUAUCUUUUAUUUUUCCGAUCUUACCACCCGUCGUUUCAAUUGUUUUACUCUAAUUUCGACUGGUGUUUUCCAAUCUUAAACUCUAUCUUUUCUGUUAGGCCUAUCCGGAUCUACUUGAAUCUCUACUUAUUUUACUUAGAUCUACAUAUAGACACUCAUAAUUUCCCGUGGAUCUCCAUUUUUAACAUGCAUGUUGUCAUCUCCCCUUCGUAGAUCUAAAUUUCUUGCAGAGGAUGACUCCUACGGAGCUUCCUUCUUGUUUAUUUGCCGAGAGAGAAGAACAUGCCGAUGAUACAGAGCAGUUGGUGAUAGAACUAAACCAGAAUCCGACGAUGAAGAUGUGUUUCCUGUAAUUUCUUUGAGAUUAGAUAAAGUGUGAGAAUUGGAUGUAAGAGAUCAAGUAUGUUAGACCUCUAUGUGUUUAUAUAAUGUCCAUUCAGUUUUUGUCAAGCGACAUUUAUUUAGAUAUACAACUACAUCCCUUUUUAAUUUC
rnacentral:lncRNA from 1 species